UGAGUUUGAUCCUGGCUCAGGAUGAACGCUGGCGGCGUGCUUUACACAUGCAAGUCGAUCGAUGAAGCCCAGCUUGCUGGGUGGAUUAGUCGCGAACGGGUGAGUAACACGUGAGUAACCUGCCCUUAACUCUGGGAUAAGCCUGGGAAAUCUAAAUCUAAUACCGGAUAGGAUGCGCCCACCGCAUGGUGGGUGUUGGAAAGAUUUAUCGGUUUUGGAUGGACUCGCGGCCUAUCAGCUUGUUGGUGAGGUAAUGGCUCACCAAGGCGACGACGGGUAGCCGGUCCUGAGAGGGUGACCGGCCACACUGGGAUUGAGACACGGCCCAGACUCCUACGGGAGGCAGCAUGUGGGGAAUAUUGCACAAUAGAGGCGAAAUGCCUGAUGCAGCGACGCCGCGUGAGGGAUGACGGCUUUCGGGUUGUA
rnacentral:rRNA from 1 species